GACGAACCGGACAAACGUUAUUCGGAAUUACUGGGCUUAAAGAGUGCGUAGGCGGCUUGGCAAGUUGGGUGUGAAAUCCCUCGGCUCAACCGGGGAACUGCGCUCAAAACUGCCAGGCUUGAGGGAGAUAGGGGUGAGCGGAACAGAUGGUGGAGCGGUGAAAUGCGUUGAUAUCAUCUGGAACACCGGUGGCGAAGGCGGCUCACUGGAUCUCUUCUGACGCUGAGGCACGAAAGCUAGGGUAGCGAACGGG
rnacentral:rRNA from 1 species